UAACGAGCGGCGAACGGGUGAGUAACACGUGGGUGAUCUGCCCUGCACUUCGGGAUAAGCCUGGGAAACUGGGUCUAAUACCGGAUAUGACCUCCUAUCGCAUGGUGGGUGGUGGAAAGAUUUAUCGGUGCAGGAUGGGCCCGCGGCCUAUCAGCUUGUUGGUGGGGUAAUGGCCUACCAAGGCGACGACGGGUAGCCGACCUGAGAGGGUGACCGGCCACACUGGGACUGAGACACGGCCCAGACUCCUACGGGAGGCAGCAGUGGGGAAUAUUGCACAAUGGGCGAAAGCCUGAUGCAGCGACGCCGCGUGAGGGAUGACGGCCUUCGGGUUGUAAACCUCUUUCAGCAGGGACGAAGCGCAAGUGACGGUACCUGCAGAAGAAGCACCGGCUAACUACGUGCCAGCAGCCGCGGUAAUACGUA
rnacentral:rRNA from 1 species